AACUAAUUUGAAGAGUACUAUUCCAUGCCAAAAAUGGGUAAUCACGUAUGACAACCAAAAAUAGCUGCAUAAUACAAUCUAAUCAUAACAUGUCGACUUAAGAUUUUUUGUUUGAAUACUUUGAUAAGUUUUCUGAAGUGUGUUUCUCAAGUGUCGUAUUUAAUAAAUCAUGUUUCCAAGUGCUUUUAUACCAAGGUACGAGUUCCCUAAGGAAGUAUUAUGUCGUACUUUACUACAGUCCGACUUCUACGUACGUCUGCUGUAUUUUGGUUCGCAACAAGUUUUGGAUUUAAAAACUUCUUUAAAAUGGCUCCAUAUACGGGGUUCGGCAACUCCUCAACAAAUCGAAACCGUUCUCAAUUUCCUGGACGAACAUAGAGAUUUAGCUCGCGGGAGGUUGAAUAGUUGAUCCCAGCCACAACGAUAACCUGAGAGUCCACCUGUAAUAGCUGCCUAUGUACCACCACCAUUGACACAAGAAUGCCUGACUUUCACACCUUCCUCUCAACACUGUACAAGGAGACGAUCUGCCAGCACACGUGUAAGAAGCAGAUUGUAUCAAUAAGAAGAGGAGCGUGCACAGAGAUAGAGACGGUGAAAACCGCAGAGCUUGCAGGCAUAAGACGUGAAUUGGCAGGCAUCAGUCCUAACCCUACAUAACACAAUAAAGGAAUAUCUGGAUAGCAAUUAAGAUUUUGUUAGUGUAUUGUUAGUUAUUUGUGUUUAGUAUUUCUUUGUUAUUAAUUUGUUAUGUCAGGGUUAAAGUAAAUAAAACUUUAAGCAUAUA